rnacentral:lncRNA from 1 species
AUGAAGCUAUCUGAGUUCAGAUCUCAAUCACCAACUAUUGUGUUUGUGUGUCACUUCCAAAUCUGAAAAAGAUCAUGAAAGUUACCUUCUAUUGUAACACUUUUUGGUACCCAAAAAAAAGAAACUAUUAGGUAUUCAUAACUAUUUUUAAAAAAAAAACUUGUAUGGGGCAAAAGUUCGGACUUAUAACCAGGUGUACCAACAGAGAUGUGAGACGUGCGAGUCCAGUCUGGUACUCGUAGCCUAUGGCCUCGACUGAUAGAUCCGAUAACCGAUUCCUCCAAGUGACAGUGCCAUUUUGAAGUGGUUUGGCCCCGAGGCGACCUAUCAUCGAACUUCAUGCUGAACCAGAGAUGCCUUUUGCACAUUCCUUUUUGCACUGUUGAAUGGUCUUAUCAUGAAAAAGGCUCGUGCUAGUCUUAUAUAGUUAGCUUCUCAAUGAAACUAAGACCCCAUGCCCAUUACAACACAAGCACCCUAUCUCUCUCUAUCCAUCUCUAUAUGUAUGAUCUUUGAAAGAAAGAAUUUUGAUAAAUAUGAAAAGUGUAUGAUUCU